rnacentral:rRNA from 1 species
UACGUAGGGUGCGAGCGUUAAUCGGAAUUACUGGGCGUAAAGCGUGCGCAGGCGGUUAUUUAAGUCAGGUGUGAAAGCCCUGGGCUUAACCUAGGAAUUGCGCUUGAGACUGGAUAGCUUGGAGUGCGGCAGAGGGAGGUGGAAUUCCACGUGUAGCAGUGAAAUGCGUAGAUAUCUGGAGGAAUACCGGUGGCGAAGGCGGCAUCCUGGACCGAAACUGACGCUGAGGCGCGAAAGCGUGGGGAGCAAACAGG